rnacentral:misc_RNA from 1 species
GAAAUGCGAUAAGUAAUGUGAAUUGCAGAAUUCAGUGAAUCAUCGAAUCUUUGAACGCACAUUGCGCCCAUUAGUAUUCUUUUGGGCAUGCCUGUUCGAGCGUCAUUUCAACCCUUAAGCCUCGUUGCUUAGCGUUGGGAGCCUACCGCCCCGUGCGGUAGCUCUCUAAAACCAGUGGCGGAGUCGGUUCGCUCCGAGCGUAGUAAUUUUCUUCUCGCUCCUGCAGUCGUAUCGUCCCCUGCCGUAAAACCCCCCAUUUCUCAAGGUUGACCUCGGAUCAGGUAGGAAUACCCGCUGAACUUAA